rnacentral:tRNA from 1 species
AAGUAAGAAACAAAUCAAUUGUAAUCAGUUUCGACCUGAUAGUAAGAUAGAUAUAAUUUAUCCUUAUUUA